rnacentral:rRNA from 1 species
GAUCAUGGCUCAGGAUGAACGCUGGCGGCGUGCCUAAUACAUGCAAGUCGAGCGAACCACUUCGGUGGUUAGCGGCGAACGGGUGAGUAACACGUAGGUGAUCUGCCCAUCAGACGGGGACAACGAUUGGAAACGAUCGCUAAUACCGGAUAGGACGAAAGUUUAAAGGUGCUCCUGGCACCGCUGAUGGAUGAGCCUGCGGCGCAUUAGCUAGUUGGUAGGGUAAAGGCCUACCAAGGCG